UCUCUGGUAGUAUAGUGGUGAGUAUCCGCGCCUGUCACGUGCGAGACCGGGGUUCGAUUCCCCGCCAGAGAG
rfam:Strongyloides stercoralis strain PV0001 genome assembly, scaffold: SSTP_contig0000014